AGAGUUGAUCCUGGCUCAGGACGAACGCUGGCGGCGCGCCUAACACAUGCAAGUCGAACGGAGCUUAGAGAGCUUGCUUUUUAAGCUUAGUGGCGAACGGGUGAGUAACGCGUGAGUAACCUGCCCUAGAGUGGGGGACAACAGUUGGAAACGACUGCUAAUACCGCAUAAGCCCACGGUACCGCAUGGCACUGGGGGAAAAGGAUUUAUUCGCUUUAGGAUGGACUCGCGUCCAAUUAGCUAGUUGGUGAGGUAACGGCCCACCAAGGCGACGAUUGGUAGCCGGACUGGGAGGUUGAACGGCCACAUUGGGACUGAGACACGGCCCAGACUCCUACGGGAGGCAGCAGUGGGGGAUAUUGCACAAUGGGGGAAACCCUGAUGCAGCGACGCCGCGCGGAGGAAGAAGGUUUUCGGAUUGUAAACUCCUGUCGUUAGGGACGAUAAUGACGGUACCUAACAAGAAAGCACCGGCUAACUACGUGCCAGCAGCCGCGGUAAAACGUAGGGUGCAAGCGUUGUCCGGAAUUACUGGGUGUAAAGGGAGCGCAGGCGGGAAGACAAGUUGGAAGUGAAAACCAUGGGCUCAACCCAUGAAUUGCUUUCAAAACUGUUUUUCUUGAGUAGUGCAGAGGUAGAUGGAAUUCCCGGUGUAGCGGUGGAAUGCGUAGAUAUCGGGAGGAACACCAGUGGCGAAGGCGGUCUACUGGGCACCAACUGACGCUGAGGCUCGAAAGCAUGGUAGCAAACAGGAUAGAUACCCUGGUAGUCAUGCCGUAACGAUGAUACUAGGUGUUGGGGAUGACCCCUCAUGC
rnacentral:rRNA from 1 species